CACGACUUGCCUAACCACCACCCAUGGCCAGUUGAGAAUCCAAUUGUGCUCUACGGCCUCCUUGAACUUGAAGAGAUAGAAUCUUCUUCGAAGCCCAUGCUCCGUGAUCUCUCCUUUCAGCCCUGCACAUAGCCGAAACUCCCGCACAAUAUAGAGGAUAAAUUUUUGAUCAAUUUGCCCUCAUUAUUUCACCAGUUGAUCUAGCUUGCUCUUUCAGCACUAUAUAGAGGAUAAAUUUUUCAGGUGCAUCCUCGUGAUACCAUUAGAUGUAAUGAAUAUUGAAGUAACCCGAUAAUCUCGUAUAGAAAAAUUAUGAACAUGAUAUGCAACUCGUUCAUUUGUCCUCUCAUUAACAUAACCUGUCCUGCAACUAGUGUAUUAUUUUAGAAAAGUUAUAGUGACAUUCUCUUAACUGUUGGAUAUUUUUUAGAGAUAUCCUCUCAAUUUUAAAAAUUUUUAAACUGAUUCUUCAAAAGAUCCUAUUAUUUAUCUCGAUUAAUAGAAUGGCGUCAUAUGAUAAUACAAAAUUAUAUUAUGAUCAAAAAAAUCUUUUGUAUCAAUUAUUUGUAUGAUAAAGUCCUAGCAUAGAUAUAAAAAAACUCUUAGUAUAUGAUCCAUAUUUAAGAAUCACCAAUUACACAUAUCUCAAAGUACUUCGAACAUCUUCAUUGAUCCAUUUUUAUAGAUCUCAAAGCAUCUUAGGUGUAUGACUUAUGGUUAAGAAUUACCCACCGUACAAAUCUCUAAGCACUCCACACCCCUUCAUUCAUGUGCCUGAUUUUACAGCAUCCUUAAUAUAUGUUAUCCAUGGUUAAGGAUCAUCUAAUGUACAUCUCAAAGCAUUCCAAACUUCUUCAUUUAUUAGUUUGUAAAAAUUUUAAAGCACCCUUAAUAUAUGACCUAAAACUCCUUCAUUCAUCGGCCUAUAAAAAUUUCAAAACACCCUUAAUAUAUGAUCUAUAGUUAAGUAUCAUCAAAUUGUAUAGUUUUUAACUCUUUCGUUCAUCCAUCUAUGCAAAUCCUAAAACAUCCUUGGUAUAUGCUCUAUAGUUAAGGAUACCAACUAUACAACUAGAUAGACCCUUUUGUACAUCCAAAAUCAAUUCUAAUAAUUAUCCUCCAAAAAGCAAUACAUGCACCAAAAAGAGGGAGAGAAUAGGGAGAUCGGAUAUGAAGCAUUUGUUGUGAACUAAAUUUUUAGAAAUAGCUAUUUACCCUUCUAAAGAGCAAAUAAAAACAAAUACUUCCCAAUAAAUUGUAUCCAUCAUGUGUGUAAAUAAAAUCAUCGGUGUGCUACACACGAUCUCAAUAACAAAGUUGCCCAAAGAAAAUAAAAAGUCCUCUCAAAUCAUUAUUAAUUCCUUAAUGUUAGUUUAGGCUAAUCUAAGUUGACUGUCAGUAGUUAAACCAUUAAAAUGAAAUCAAUAGGUAUAUGUAUGAUCGAUGAGAUUAAAUAUCAAGAUAUACAUUUUGAACAUUCUUUUUUGUAGCAUGUCUGAUGAUUUUUAUAUUAUGUUUAUAAAAAAUUUCUCCUGAUUUCAAUAUUUGCAAAUGAUUCUAUAUUUUCUAUAUAUUCUCAAUUAUUUUUGGAUAAUGGCUUUAUCUUUAUUAAAAUAAAAAAAUUAUAAAUGAAGAAUAAAUUUUAUUUAUAUCUAAUAAUUUAAAAAAUCUAUACUUAUCAUCUAUCUUUAUCUAACACUUCAACUGAUGAUUGAACAGGACGUUAGUCAAACUGUUCACCUUAAUGAGACUCAAAUGUCAAAUUAGAAAAAUUUAAAGCAAAAUAACAGUAGAUGAUAUUAUAAUCAUUCAAGGAUACCGCAAAAAAAUAUAUAUGUAUUCUCCUCGCCAUUCAAGGAUAAUUUUAAGUUUUAACAUAAGAUAAGCAAUUCCACUCUAAUAUUGUUAGUUUGACUAAAUAUGAGUGUAGUAAAAAUUAGUGAAUGUAAGUAUAAUAAAUAAAAAAACUCAAAUUUUGUCAUUAAAAUAACAUUAUUAUAACAAUCACGGAGGCCCAUAUUUUGACCAUUCCAUCGUUUCCUUGGAUAGAUAAAACUACAUCUCAACAUAGCAAUUGUAACUCCCAUGUGCCCGUUCUCCGUCCCUUUUUUUGACCCAUCAACGGCUGAAACGACCUGAAGCAUAAAUCACGUUCCAGCCUGAAAGACUCCACUGCUUUUAAUCAGCCUGCCUGCCUUGCGUUUUGGAAAUGAUCACUGCGUUCCAUGGCGGCUCUCUCACCUAUAAAACCCCAAGCUCUCCUGCUCUCCUUCUCGCCCUACCAAAUCGCUCACAGAAACGAAGAGAGAAAGAAAAGAGAUAAGAAGAAGACGAAGACGCGAUGAAGCCGUCGGUGGUGCUGUACCCGUCGCCAGGGAUGGGCCACCUUGUGUCCAUGGUGGAGCUGGGGAAGCUCUUCCUCUCCCACGGCCUCGCCGUCGCCAUCGUCACCGUCGACCCCCCCUACAACACCGGCGCCACCGCCGCCUUCAUCGCCCGCUCCUCCACCGCCCUCCCGGCCAUCUCCUUCCACCGUCUCCCCCGGGUCUCCCUCCCCCACAACCCGUCCCCUCACUUCGAGGCCCAUGCCUUCGACCUCCUCAGCCUCUCCAACCCCCACCUCCUCUCCUUCCUCCAGACGCUGUCCCUAUCCUCCCCCAUCCGCGCCUUGGUCCUCGACUUCUUCUGCACCGAGGCCCUCGACGUCGCCGCCGCCGUCGGCGUCCCCGCCUACUUCUUCUUCUCCACCAGCGCCUCCAACCUCACCGCCUUCCUCCACCUCCCGAUCCUCCAUCAUAAAGUCACCCAGAGUUUCAAGGACCUCGGCCACACCCCCCUCGACUUCCCGGGUCUCCCGCCGAUCCCGGCGUCGGGCAUGCCGCUCCCCAUGCUCGACCGCGACGACGACGCCUACAAGGGAUUCGUCUACCACUUCGACCGCGUGCCCCGCGCCGCCGGGAUCAUCGAGAACUCCUUCGAGUGGCUCGAGCCUCGGGCCCUCUCCGCCCUCCGCUCCGGCCUCUGCGUCCCCGGCCGGCGGAUGCCGCC
rnacentral:lncRNA from 1 species